UACGGAGGAGGCAAGCGUUAUCCGGAAUUAUUGGGCGUAAAGCGUCCGUAGGUGGCUAGUCACGUCUGCGGUCAAAGACUGGGGCUUAACCCUGGAAAGGCCGUGGAAACUGACGAGCUAGAGUGCAGUAGGGGUAGAGGGAAUUCCCGGUGUAGCGGUGAAAUGCGUAGAGCUCGGGAAGAACAUCGGUGGCGAAAGCGCGCUACUGGACUGCAACUGACACUCAGGGACGAAAGCGAGGGGAGCGAAUGGG
rnacentral:rRNA from 1 species